GAUGAACGCUGGCGGCGUGCCUAAUACAUGCAAGUCGAGCGAACAGAUAAGGAGCUUGCUCCUUUGACGUUAGCGGCGGACGGGUGAGUAACACGUGGGUAACCUACCUAUAAGACUGGGAUAACUUCGGGAAACCGGAGCUAAUACCGGAUAACAUUUGGAACCGCAUGGUUCUAAAGUGAAGGAUGGUUUUGCUAUCACUUAUAGAUGGACCCGCGCCGUAUUAGCUAGUUGGUAAGGUAACGGCUUACCAAGGCGACGAUACGUAGCCGACCUGAGAGGGUGAUCGGCCACACUGGAACUGAGACACGGUCCAGACUCCUACGGGAGGCAGCAGUAGGGAAUCUUCCGCAAUGGGCGAAAGCCUGACGGAGCAACGCCGCGUGAGUGAUGAAGGGUUUCGGCUCGUAAAACUCUGUUAUUAGGGAAGAACAAACGUGUAAGUAACUGUGCACGUCUUGACGGUACCUAAUCAGAAAGCCACGGCUAACUACGUG
rnacentral:rRNA from 1 species